rnacentral:rRNA from 1 species
CGUACGCUUCUUUUUCCCCGGAGCUUGCUCCACCGGAAAAAGAAGAGUGGCGAACGGGUGAGUAACACGUGGGUAACCUGCCCAUCAGAAGGGGAUAACACUUGGAAACAGGUGCUAAUACCGUAUAACAAUCGAAACCGCAUGGUUUUGAUUUGAAAGGCGCUUUCGGGUGUCGCUGAUGGAUGGACCCGCGGUGCAUUAGCUAGUUGGUGAGGUAACGGCUCACCAAGGCCACGAUGCAUAGCCGACCUGAGAGGGUGAUCGGCCACAUUGGGACUGAGACACGGCCCAAACUCCUACGGGAGGCAGCAGUAGGGAAUCUUCGGCAAUGGACGAAAGUCUGACCGAGCAACGCCGCGUGAGUGAAGAAGGUUUUCGGAUCGUAAAACUCUGUUGUUAGAGAAGAACAAGGAUGAGAGUAACUGUUCAUCCCUUGACGGUAUCUAACCAGAAAGCCACGGCUAACUACGUGCCAGCAGCCGCGGUAAUACGUAGGUGGCAAGCGUUGUCCGGAUUUAUUGGGCGUAAAGCGAGCGCAGGCGGUUUCUUAAGUCUGAUGUGAAAGCCCCCGGCUCAACCGGGGAGGGUCAUUGGAAACUGGGAGACUUGAGUGCAGAAGAGGAGAGUGGAAUUCCAUGUGUAGCGGUGAAAUGCGUAGAUAUAUGGAGGAACACCAGUGGCGAAGGCGGCUCUCUGGUCUGUAACUGACGCUGAGGCUCGAAAGCGUGGGGAGCAAACAGGAUUAGAUACCCUGGUAGUCCACGCCGUAAACGAUGAGUGCUAAGUGUUGGAGGGUUUCCGCCCUUCAGUGCUGCAGCUAACGCAUUAAGCACUCCGCCUGGGGAGUACGACCGCAAGGUUGAAACUCAAAGGAAUUGACGGGGGCCCGCACAAGCGGUGGAGCAUGUGGUUUAAUUCGAAGCAACGCGAAGAACCUUACCAGGUCUUGACAUCCUUUGACCACUCUAGAGAUAGAGCUUCCCCUUCGGGGGCAAAGUGCCAGGUGGUGCAUGGUUGUCGUCAGCUCGUGUCGUGAGAUGUUGGGUUAAGUCCCGCAACGAGCGCAACCCUUAUUGUUAGUUGCC